CACACACACACACACACACACACACACUAUCACCCACAGCGUUGUUCCUCCACUGUUUCCAUGUUAAUGUGGCCGAUAGCGCUGCAGCCACCGGGGCCAAGAUGCCCAACAAACUGACGGCCCACGUACCGACGAGCUGAAACGUUCAACAAGCCGCGGCAAACAAAGCAUAUGGAGGAAACCGAGCGGCCCCACGAGUAGCGCUGCGCGGAUGUUCGGUGCGUUGUUUGGUGCGUGGGUUUGGAUCCAUACCUACUCAACAGUGAUGCCUGCGGCCAGUGGUGACGAGAGGCGCACAGGUGUUUCUCCGGGCGAAGCUGCGCACCACUGCAGUGCACAAAGCAGACGGAUAUCACUCGCCAACAUGAUAGGAAACAGCUCCAGAAGGAAACAAAAUGUACAAAAAAAGUCCUAACCGGGACCGACAACCGUCGCACGACAGAGACAAAACGCGGUGCCGACGGGUGGACUACGUGUCUGUCUGUGGUGGACGGCAGCGCCAGAGAGGCUUCAGACAAUAUUGUUGUAAAUACCGAGGCUCCGCCAGUGGAAACUACCGAGCACAAAACGAGAGGAAUGCGCACACACGUUUCCGGGGGCCAUCAUUUUAUUUCGAAGAAAAUACUGCCUUCUAUCCGGCAUUAUUCUGGUAAUCUCUUAAAAGACUUGAUUUAAUUGUGCGCCUCCCUCUUCCGUGUUACCCAUCGACUACUGAGUGAUAGAACAGUAAACAUCAUUUCCCAAGAUGCAUUGCAGUUUGUCGGCGUUGUCACGUCAGCCACAAAGCCGCAUGGUAAUAGCUUGGAUGCCGCAGACAGUUUUAUUACUUCGCACUGAAGCAUAACAACUCAAAACAAGUACUGCAGCAUAACUUUGAUUACAAAAUACGGUAUGUACAGUAAUAUUGAAACGAAUUAGUGAUUAAAGUCCUUUCAAUUUGGCUUUGACCUUUUAUCUUUCAUUGGACAAUUGUCAAAAACAAAUGUUUGGAACAGCUCAAGGGGAACGACUUUAAUCCACUUGCAAGUAGAAAUGAUUAGUAAUUAGAAAGUAUGGAGCCAAAUUCAGG
ensembl:lncRNA